UUUUCUGGUGUGUUUACUGAAAUAGAAACACCUCAUACCAUCCCGACCUGAUCGGUGAAACAUUUCAGCGGCUAUGAUACUGCAAGCGGGGGCUUGUGGGAAAGCAGCCGCAUGCCAGAAU
rnacentral:rRNA from 1 species